rnacentral:rRNA from 1 species
GUACACGCUGUGACUAGCAUAUCAAUAAGCGGAGGAAAAGAAACUAACAAGGAUUCCCCUAGUAACGGCGAGUGAAGCGGGAAGAGCUCAAAUUUGAAAUCUUAAAGGGUUUCCCUUUACGAAUUGUAGUUUAAAGAAGUGUUUUCUGUUGAGGUUUUGGUAAAAGUUCUUUGGAAUAGGACAUCAUAGAGGGUGAGAAUCCCGUAUUUGACCUUUACUUUCAACUUUGUGAUACACUUUCAAAGAGUCGGAUUGUUUGGGAAUGCAGUCCAAAAUGGGUGGUAAAUUUCAUCUAAAGCUAAAUAUUGGCGAGAGACCGAUAGCGAACAAGUACCGUGAGGGAAAGAUGAAAAGAACUUUGAAAAGAGAGUUAAACAGUACGUGAAAUUGUCAAAAGGGAAGCGUUUGACACCAGUGUUGUUUUUCUGAAAAUCAAUUAAAGAACUGUUUAUGCUAAGCUGUUUAGACUUUAUCAGCUAAUCUGUUUAGUUUUGAGCUUUUCUUUAAUGCACUUUUCAGUUAACAAGUCAACAUCUAUUUCUUUUGCUGUAAAAAAGCUUGAGGAAGGUGGCUUGAGAUUCGUCUUAAGUGUUUAUAGCCUCUUGCCUAUGCAGUCGGAGAGAUUGAGGUCUGCAGCGUAGAUCCUUCGGGGCUAAAUGCAUUUGUGCUAAGUUAUAGCAUUUUAUAGACAACUUGUUGACUAUGAUUUGUCUUGUAGCUUACUCGCUUAUGUUAUUUUACCUACGCUUAGGAUGUUGACUGAUAUGUAGUCGUA